rnacentral:lncRNA from 1 species
ACUGAUAUAACAUGUUUGUCGACGACAUCUAUGAUAGCACUAAUAUAAUGAAGAUCUUAAAUCUGUCGCCUAUAGAUACAAAAGUAUUGGCCAAAUGGAAGAGAUACAAUUCAAGUAGAAUUGAUUCCAUAUGAAAGACAUGUAGUUUUGGACAUGUAGUUCAAAUACUUAAAAGUAUAAAGUCAAUGGUAUGUGCAAUCAGUUUUU